AGAGAAUAGAUACCCCGGUAGUCCAUGCUGUAAACGAUGGAUGCUAGCUGUGAUGCGUAUCGACCCGCGUCGUAGCGAAGCUAACGCGUUAAGCAUCCCGCCUGUGGAGUACGGCCGCAAGGCUAAAACAUAAAGGAAUUGACGGGGACCCGCACAAGCGGUGGAGCGUGUUGUUUAAUUCGAUGGUAAGCGAAGAACCUUACCCAGGUUUGACAUCCUUGGAAGUUCUGCGAAAGCAGAGUGUGCCUUCGGGAACCAAGUGACAGGUGAUGCAUGGCCGUCUUCAGCUCGUGUCGUGAGACGUUAGGUUAAGUCCUUCAACGAGCGCAACCCUUAUAGUUAGUUGUAUUUUCUAGCUAGACUGCCCUGGUAACAGGGAGGAAGGAGGGGACGAUGUCAGGUCAGUAUCUCCCUUAUAUCUGGGGCUACAAACACGCUACAAUGGCCGGUACAAAGGGAAGCCAACCCGCGAGGGGAGCAAAUCCCAUCAAAGCCGGUCUCAGUUCGGAUUGUAGGCUGAAACUCGCCUGC
rnacentral:rRNA from 1 species